rnacentral:rRNA from 1 species
AACGAACGCUGGCGGCAUGCCUAACACAUGCAAGUCGAACGAGAAUUUCGGGUCUAGUGGCGCACGGGUGCGUAACGCGAGGGAACCUUCCCUUAGGUUCGGAAUAACUCCCCGAAAGGGGUGAUAAUACCGGACAAUGUCUUCGGACCAAAGAUUGUUCGCCCUUGGUGGGGCCCAAGUUGGAUUAGCCAGUUGGUAGGGGAAAAGCCUACCAAGGCGACGAUCCAUAGCUGGGCUGAGAGGAUGAGCAGCCACACCGGGAGUAGGAAACGGCCCAGACUCCUACGGGAGGGAGGAGUGGGUAAUGGAGGAAAGUCGGGUAAAUGCUGAUCCAGCUAUGCCGGGUGAGUUAUGAAGUCCUUGGAGAUGUAGAGCUGGUGUACCCGGGUUGAUUAUGACGGUACCGGGAGAAAAAGCUCCGGCUAACUCCGUG